rnacentral:lncRNA from 1 species
AAAUCAAGCUUCUCACUAUGUGAUUCAUCCUGGUUUGAUUGGAACGACGAUGAAGCUGUGCUACUCCCAAACUGGGAAACUGGAGUCACCUGAUUAGAAACUGGGAUAACUUCUUCAUCCCAACUCCUAUGAGAUUUAUUCAACUUCCUGGUCAUUCUCCACCACUUUAUGUAUCCAAAUCAAGCUUCUCAAAAAGUGAUUCAUCCAGGUUUGAUUGGAACGACGAUGAA